AUCUCUACAAUUAUCCGUACUAUAAAUCAACUUUUGACUAACCAACUAUAUCACAUUCUAGUAACCUCAUCUUUACAGUCAGUGGUUAUGGUACAGUUAGUAAGUGGUUAUAAUACAGUUUUAAAGUCACAGAUCAGUUAGUAACAGUUAUGGUAUUAUACAUAUAACAUAAAACAGCAAUUGUUAGUAAUUUUUACACAAUAUCAG